GGCGAAAAUGGCGGAGCAAACAGCAGAUUUCAUAGCGCUUUUGGUGGCAUUUGUGGCGAGACUCCGUUCUCAAUAUGGUAUCAACAUGGUAAAAAGCGUAGCGACUUGGUCAAAAGUGAAUAUUUUGGCCGUUUCUAAAGAUAUGGACCUGAAAACUUGGAAAUGACAAGAGAAACUUAUGAGCAUUAAAGUGUAAUCGAUUUCGAAAUCCGACUUUGCCGUGUUUGAAGUAUAGUAGCAAAGGAGCAGGAUUCCAGUUCAGUCAUUCUGCGGACAACAACUUGGUGUACUUCCAAAUUCUGAAACCCAGCGUUACACAAAGGAUACUUAAGAAUGAUGAAUCUUUUCUAUGCGUUUUAAUAAACUUGAAAUGUCAAAGUUUUGCUCAAA